AUGCGAAGAACCAAAAAGACCCGAGAAGAAAAAAAGAAGAGCUUCCACCGCGAGCAGAAGGAAGCAGCAGCAGCAGCAGCAGUAGCAGAGCUAGCGCGAGGCGGGCGACCGUGGGAUCCCGCAUGGCGGCGCCCUGAGGGAGCCCGCGCCGCCCACCGGGCUCCGGCGGAGAUGCGGCCGCGGGGAGCCGCCCUGCUCCUCCUCCUCACCGCGCUCUCCUCCGUUUAUGUGCCACUGGGAACGGCAAGCUCAACAACCAUCACGGCCUACUUACUUGGAUUAUGGAGUAGAACACAUCGGCAUUCGGUUCUUUCCCCUGCACCAGCCCCUUCUCCCGGACCUCAAGGUGCCUCUGUUUAUCACCCAGUGCAUAGGCAUCACAGGAAACGACCUCGUGUCGCCCCACCAUCUUCGUCACCAUCAUUUGAAAGACAAGAUUGCAGUGGAAUAACUUGUUCCGCUCCGCUCACUUCUACUCCAAUUGGUUCCCCUUGUGGUUGUGUAUAUCCUAUGCAAAUUCAGCUUGAUCUUAGUGUGGCACCGUACCAGCUGUUCCCUAGAGUUGAUGAGCUAGAAAUCGAGAUUGCAGCAGGUACAUUCCUGAAACAGAGUCAAGUUCGGAUAAUGGGUGCUGGGGGAAGUAUUCAAGAUCCGGAUAAGACUACCGUCACCAUUGAUUUGGUGCCACUGGGUCAGAAGUUUGAUAGGACUUCAGCCUUACUGAUCAGCAACAGGUUUUUGCGAAAGAAAGUUCCGAUAAAGUCAUCUAUUUUUGGUGAUUAUGACGUAACGUAUGUUCAUUAUCCUGGCCUUCCUUCUUCGGUACCUAAUAUCCCAGGAUCCUUCGGUCCAAUUAGCAGCAAUGAGUAUCCCUUUGGUGCAAAUGUACACAAUGGAAGCCAUCCGAAGAUUAGCUCCAAAAUUAUCGCCAUAAUUGCUCUGUCAGCUGUUGUGUUUGUUUUGACAUGUUUUGGCAUCUGCAUCAUAUGCAAAUACAAAGGACGCCAAAAGCCUCAUGGAAUUGGUCAUGCUUCAAAUUCGUCAAACACCAGAAAAACAGGUAUCAGGUCAUCGUUCUCCAGUAUGACUAGCUCGACAGCAUCUUUUCCUUCGACUAUAGCAACCUGCCCGCGCACGGUUAAGACAUUCUCAAUUUCUGAGCUUGAGAAGGCAACAGACAAAUUUAGCUUCAAAAGAAUAAUAGGCGAAGGAGGGUAUGGACGUGUUUAUCGUGGCAUAGUUGAAGAUGGAGUUGAGGUUGCUGUCAAAUUGCUCACUGGGAAACACCAAAACAGAGACCGUGAGUUCAUCGCAGAGGUUGAGAUGCUAAGUCGUUUGCAUCACCGCAAUCUCGUCAAGUUGGUCGGUAUAUGCGUUGAACGGAGCACGAGAUGCCUGGUAUUCGAGCUUGUGCCAAACGGAAGUGUGGAGUCUCACCUGCAUGGGCCAGAUAAAAUAUAUGGCCCACUUGACUUUGACACCAGAAUGAAAAUAGCCCUGGGUGCAGCAAGGGGUCUGGCCUAUCUGCAUGAGGAUGCCAAUCCCCAUGUCAUUCACCGUGAUUUCAAGGCUAGCAAUGUUCUACUGGAGAACGAUUUCACCGCCAAGGUUGCGGAUUUCGGGUUGGCCAAGGAAGCAUCAGAAGGAAUCGAGCACAUUUCCACUCAGGUCAUGGGAACUUUCGGGUACGUUGCCCCGGAGUAUGCGAUGACGGGGCAUCUCCUUGUCAAGAGCGACGUGUACAGCUACGGCGUGGUGCUCCUGGAGCUCCUGUCGGGCCGGAAGCCGGUGGACAUGACGCAGCCGCCGGGGUCCGAGAACCUGGUCACCUGGGCGCGCCCGCUGCUGACCAACCGGGAAGGCCUGCAGCUGCUGGCGGACCCGUCGCUGCCGGCGGCGAGCCGGGACUUCGAGAAGCUGGCCAAGGCGGCGGCCAUCGCGUCCAUGUGCGUGCACGUGGAGGCGGCGCAGCGGCCGUUCAUGGGCGAGGUGGUGCAGGCGCUGAAGCUGAUCUACAGCGGCGGCAACGAGGAGACCUGCAGCGGCUCCCUGGGCGGCGGCGGCGGCACGCCCACGGAGGAGGAGGAGUCCCCGUGGAACGACGGCGGCAGGAGCUGCUCGUGGAACGACGACAGCGACGCGCCGUCCUGGCCGCGCGUCCCCGGGGCGCCCCGCGCGGGCUACGGCUCGGACCCCGCGGAGGAGUCGUCGGCGCGGCGGCCGCGGUCGACGCCGAGCGCGGUGCUGGACAGGAUCGAGUCCCUGGCGGCGUACGACUGGUCCGGCCCGCUGAGGACCAGGGCGAGGAACUUCUACCGGCUGAGGGGCAGCAUGAGCGAGCACGGCCACCGCCCUUCCGACGACGGCAGCGUCGAGGGCGACUGGAUGUAG
rnacentral:rRNA from 1 species